CAGACGUACGUAAUUGCACAGACGUACACGAUUUAACAUGAAACUACCUUACCUCUCCAUAUUUUAUUUCUGGCAAUUUUAUUCCCCCCUCAUCGUUUACUACGAAAGUAUUUAUAAAAUCGAGCACCAGUUUAAGUAUAUCGGAUUUUACAUCAUUUUGAACCAACGUUAAAAUACACAUUAUGUUGAGUAAAAGUGUUGUUUUAAGUUUAAAAAAAUAAAUAAAUAAGCAAAAAUAAGCAAGUAAAUAAAUGAAUAGAUGAAAAAAUGAGAAAAUCAAAAGAUAGGGUUUUGUAAUGUAAAUGGUACUAUGUUUUCUAAUAAAAAUUAUACAUUUCUAAUGUUGUAUGUAAAAAAAAAAAAAAAAAAAAAAAUCUUUCUUCUUCCUUUUAUUUUUAUAAGUUAUAUAUCACAUUUAACAUAUUUUUGUAUUUGUAAAGUGAGCUUGAUAUUUCUUAACUCUGACAGACAAGUGUUUAUUUUUUUAAUUUUUUUUUUAAUUCGUUACAAAAAGAGAAAUUUUUUAUUUUGUGCUUUUUUUUUUUUUUUUUUUUCUCUUCCUACGUGACUUAAUAUGUAACUUGAGAGUAUAAUGUUUUGGUUGAAACGUAGAAAAGAACUACACGUGUUAUUUAUUUAUUUAUUCAUUUAUUUAUUUUAUUUUUUUUUUUUUUUUCCGUUAUUAGUAUUUUUUUUUUGUUUGUUUAGCAACCAUGUAAAUGAAAAAAAAAAAGCAUUUAAACGUGUUUAUGAAUGUACCCUAGUUUUUCAACAACGUGUAUUUUUUUUUUUCCUAAAAAUAUUACUUAUUAAGAACAAAUUUAAACUUUGAUUUAUAUUAUGUUAAAAAUACUAUUUUUAAAUAGUUCCUUCUAUUUUUUUUUACUUGCUAGAAAAAACAAAUUUAUUUUUCAUUUGAGGAAUGAAAAAAAAAAAAAAAAAAAAAAAAAAAAACAUGAAAACUUACCUAGCGUAUGUACUUCAUCACAUUACUGUGAACAUACAAUUUCUUCGGUUAAACAGUUGUCAAGCGAAAAAAAAAAAAUCGAACUUAAAUAAUCAUAAAACAAAGUUAAACAACCAUAAAACAAAGUUAAACAACCAUAAAACAAAGUUAAACAACCAUAAAACAAAGUUAAAUGAUUAUAAAACAAAAGUUAUACAACAUGAUGUAGUAGAAAAGGAAAUGGAAAAAGUAGCAAAAAAAUAAACAAAAGUUUACAAAAUAUUAUGCAUAGUAAUAAUAAAAAGUGUAAUAGUAAUCA
rnacentral:lncRNA from 1 species